AGCAGCAGCCGCGGUAAUACGUAGGGCGCAAGCGUUAUCCGGAAUUAUUGGGCGUAAAGAGCUCGUAGGCGGUUUGUCGCGUCUGCCGUGAAAGUCCGGGGCUCAACCCCGGAUCUGCGGUGGGUACGGGCAGACUAGAGUGAUGUAGGGGAGACUGGAAUUCCUGGUGUAGCGGUGAAAUGCGCAGAUAUCAGGAGGAACACCGAUGGCGAAGGCAGGUCUCUGGGCAUUAACUGACGCUGAGGAGCGAAAGCAUGGGGAGCGAACAGGAUUAGAUACCCGUGUAGUCCCUGUCUCUUAUAC
rnacentral:rRNA from 1 species